rnacentral:tRNA from 1 species
ACCUGGCUGGCUCUGUCAGUAGAGCAUGAGACUCUUGAUCUUGGGUUUGUGGGUUUGAGUGACACGUUGGGUG